UAGGGAAUCUUCCACAAUGGACGCAAGUCUGAUGGAGCAACGCCGCGUGAGUGAAGAAGGUUUUCGGAUCGUAAAGCUCUGUUGUUGGUGAAGAAGGAUAGAGGUAGUAACUGGCCUUUAUUUGACGGUAAUCAACCAGAAAGUCACGGCUAACUACGUGCCAGCAGCCGCGGUAAUACGUAGGUGGCAAGCGUCGUCCGGAUUUAUUGGGCGUAAAGCGAGCGCAGGCGGAAGAAUAAGUCUGAUGUGAAAGCCCUCGGCUUAACCUAGGAACUGCAUCGGAAACUGUUUUUCUUGAGUGCAGAAGAGGAGAAUGGAAUUCCAUGUGUAGCGGUGGAAUGCGUAGAUAUAUGGAAGAACACCAGUGGCGAAGGCGACUCUCUGGUCUGCAACUGACGCUGAGGCUCGAAAGCAUGGGUAGCGAACAGG
rnacentral:rRNA from 1 species